AUUGAACGCUGGCGGCAUGCUUUACACAUGCAAGUCGAACGGUAACAGGCCGCAAGGUGCUGACGAUUGGCGAACGGGUGAGUAAUGCAUCGGAACGGGCCCAGCCGGGGGGGUUAACUACUCGAAAGAGUAGCUAAUACCGCAUACGAUCUAUGGAUGAAAGCGGGGGACCGUAAGGCCUCGCGCGAUUGGAGCGGCCGAUGUCAGAUUAGGUAGUUGGUGGGGUAAAGGCUCACCAAGCCAACGAUCUGUAGCUGGUCUGAGAGGACGACCAGCCACACUGGGACUGAGACACGGCCCAGACUCCUACGGGAGGCAGCAGUGGGGAAUUUUGGACAAUGGGCGCAAGCCUGAUCCAGCAAUGCCGCGUGCAGGAAGAAGGCCUUCGGGUUGUAAACUGCUUUUGUACGGAACGAAACGGCUCUGGUUAAUACCCGGGGCUAAUGACGGUACCGUAAGAAUAAGCACCGGCUAACUACGUG
rnacentral:rRNA from 1 species